CAAAGAACUGGAGAAAAUAUUUGCAAACUACCUAUAUGACAAGGGUUUAAUAAACAGAAUAUAUGAAGAGCUCAAACAAGUCUAUAGGAAAAAAUCUAAUAAUGUGAAAAAUGGGCCAAAAGGGCCGAGUGUAGUCACUCACACCUAUAAUCCCAGCACUUUGGGAGGCCUAGGCUGGAGGAAUGCUUGAGCUCGGAGUUCAAGGCCCGCCUGGGCAACAAUAGUGAGAUCUUGUCUCUCUCUCUCUCUAUGUGUAUAACAUAUACAUACAUACAUACACAC
rnacentral:lncRNA from 1 species